CUGCUGUGGCAGGCAGGGUUGAGAAAGCAUGGUUUCUCUCCCAGAUUUUGCUAUGGAGCUGAGAGCCACAGUUUCUCCUAAGGAAAUACAUCCUGGUUGUAGGAAUCCAUCAGACCCAAGUCUGCUUUACAUGCUUGGGGCAAGAAAGAAGGAAGAGGACACACAGGCCUUUCUAUAACCUUUCCUCUUCCCCUUACUCUCGGGCAGCCUGGGGCUGUCCAGAUCGCAGCAGCUUUGAGAUGAGAUUAGCCAGAGCACUGCGGGCUGCAGCUGCAGCUUCCUCCACCCCCAGCCUGCCUCCAGGCUUUCCCAGACCAACAGGGGCUAGGAGCAAAACUGCCCAACAUCAGCUCUAUCUGGGGUCACUGCAUCCUGCCCUGUACUAGGCAGGGCCCCCAGCCCCUUCUCCUCGCUGCUACUGUCACCUCUUGCUCACCGGUGACUGCAGCUCAACCUGUCCUCCCAGACCACACAGCAAACCUGCCUUGCUGCAGGCUGACAGCAGCAGCCAGAAGGGCUUGGAUAUAUUUAUCCUGACCUUCCCCUUUAGGCAGGCAUUGAGAGGGUCACAUACUCUUCCUUGCUUGUGCCCUUGCUGUGGCCAUCUUCUGUUUCUGUCCCCUCAGCUAGGUCACCUUAUGUUGCCAAAGUGGCAGAAAAGGGCUUUAGUGCAGUUUGAAAUCCAACCCAAAUUGUCCUGCAAUUACCAUUUGUGCUUGUAACAACAUGAGGGAAUGCACUUCUUUGCCCCCAGGCAGUCGUCCAGCCUGCCCCUUGCUUCCUCAUCUGCUGCCACCUUACAGUCCAUCAGAAGUGGCUGCCAAAAGCAGGAUCACACAGGAGCCGUCCUGAAUUCCCCCUUGAACUCUGAGGGCUUGGGGGCUGUGUCCUAUGGCAGCUGUUUGGAUCCAAGGUCAUUAAACUAAAUUAACUGCAGUCUCAGAGGGCAGAACUAGGUGGGACGGGAGCAGUGAAUCCCCCUGUGUGCUGCAGUAUUGAUACCUCACUGCGGUCAAAUCAUCUGAUCCACAUGGUUGCCUUUUUGCUUGCUGCACAGACUGAAUGCCCAUGUGAAUAUCUAUGUCCUGCAUGACUCAGGAGGUCAAAUCUGGUGGCUUGGAGUCAUUCCUCUGGCCCUAGAUUUGCACAGUGUUUGGGAUGUGAUUCUCAGCCAAAUGAGCCUGGAGGGCCUCACACACUUAGCUUCACCUGUAAUGCUUGUGUCUCGUGCAGGCAGAGAUGGAGUUGACAAAACUGGCAAAAAGUUGGUGUAAAUGAAGUAGGAUAAGUAGCAGCACACAUGAAAAAGCCUAUUGUCACCUCCAGCAACUAAAUGCAGACCCUGCCUUUGACACACAGGGUAAUGCUAUCUGUAGUCAGAUCACAGGGAAAGGCUCACUGAAGGAUGGGUGCCCACCCAGGGUUGUGGGGUGGUGGAAUAAAUCACCACCACACAUGCACUGGAGGAGCACUGGGUCAGUGAGCAGGGCCACAGCCAGGACAGCUGACCCCAUCGCUGAGAUGGAGAAGACAAGAUAGCCCACAUGAUGGGCCAACCAGGUCCAGAAGAAGGAGAGAGGCUGUGCUGUAAAUGCAGGAGAGGCAGACAGAGAUGCCAGGAGGCAGCAGUAGCUGUUGGAGAGGAUUUGGCUGUAUGAAUCUCGCUCUCGGUACAUGAGUUUUGGCAGGUCUUGUAGGAGAGCUGGAUGCUGCCUGUAUGUGUCCAUAUCUGAGGACAGUGGUUGGCUCUAGUGAAAAUCUUCCGGGGUGUGGCUCAAAUGUUCUUCUCCCAUAAAAAUGGAAACACACAGAGAAAUGCUUUAUCUGGGUGCUCUGUUUUUCUUUUUGUCCCCAAAUGCCAGAAGUAGCCUCAAGGGAUAGUGAAAACUGAAAGGAAAAUGUUGCAGCUUUUUUAAAAGUACCAGCUGCAUUUUGGAAUGGCAGCUAAAAUCUGAUUAGUGCACACACCCGGGAGUGUAAGGUACCUGUGUGCUUGUUAUAAAAAGCAGCUAUAAAAUCAUGGAAGAGCGAACAGAGGAACAGAGGGAGUGUGUUAGACUCGAAGACUGCAAGCUCCAACACGCUCCCAGCCCAGCCAGGCAGCUUGCUGAACAAGGGAUAUUCAGAGUUUCGGUCUUCUCAGCACCCUCCUUGCAGUUGUUUCAAAUGAAAGACUUGUCAUGAUUUUUAAGCUGUGAGACAUUUGCUAUUUAUGGAGGCUCCCUCUCCCUCUUUCUUGACCUGUCAUAGCCUUAUAAAGUGCCAGCCUCAGCACAAAGUGGACUGUUUUAUCCUGUGGCCCUGCCCCACUGCGCCUGCUGGGUUGGUUGUCUGAAUUAUAAAUAGCUCUCCAAGAAAGGUAUAACAGAUAGCAUUUGACAUCUGCACCCCCAAAAUCUCUUGCUAUUAAAAUUUCUAAAAUUUUGACUGAAGAGCCUGCUGAAGUCUCCUAUCCUCGGCUCUGUGUUCUUAGGGGAUGAGUAACUGGAAAUCAGAGCUGAGAGUUGCUGCAGGUUUUUACUGUAGCAGCAGGUAAGUUAAUGAGCAUUAAAAGAAAGAGUCUUGAAGGGAGAAAAAUGGGCCUGGGUUUCACUGUGUAUGGCUGUUAAUGCCAACUAUCAACUACUGAUUUUAACCGUAAUGAUCUAAUGCUGUACUGCUUCAACUCAAGCAUCAAAAGCUGGUUGUAUUGAUAUUGUCACCCAAUUUCUCUGAUCCCUCUCUCAUGCUCACCAGCUCAGCAUCCCUCAAACCCAAGUCUUACAAGAAUGUAGUUGCUACUGCUUCAGUCUGGUUGAGGUUCAGAUUUCAGAGCAAGAAACGCCUUAAGUGAGAAAGAACCAACUUUUGAAGCAUUUAAAUUUUGGUUAUGACUUUUCACUGCUGAUCUUUAGAAAGAAAUGUUCAGUUCCAUACAUACAAAGGCAGAUUUUAGGUGAUUUCCUAGGUCAAAAUUGAGGCAUGUAUGAAGUUUUAGAGGCUUCCAGGUGAAUAAGAGCUGAACCAAAGGUGUGAAUUGCAGUAUGUGAAUUAGAUCCCCAGGUAGGAUCCAGGCAUGUCCAUCCUUUGGUUUUUGUGGAGCAGAGCUACCUGCUACUAACAAGGGCAGCAACAAGGAUGAGAGCAAGAGCAAAACAGUGAUCCUUGUGUCUUCUUUAGUUAUUUUUAUUUUUAAUAUAUCCAUAUUAAAUCUGUUAUCAUGCAAAAGGAAGAUUUUUUGAUAUUUCCACUGAUGUCAGCUGAGCAGGGGAUAAAUGUUGAUUUAGAAGAGAAACCAGGCAAAAAUCCAGCCUCUAAUUUUUUUUUUUAUUAUUUUUUUUUUUUUUGUCCUAUUUGGAAAAGAAACAAAACACAAAUUACUGAUGUCAAAAAUAACUACAUCCUCUUGAAACCUCAGCACAGCGUACUCAGUUAAAUUCCCCCAGGUAUAAUACAUUAAAGUGCACACUGAUUUGCUUAUCAAAACAAAGAAUGAGUAUGCACACGCCAGGGGUGGAGUGCCGAGUGGUGAAGGUGCCUUGCUAUGGAGUGGAAACUCCGUGUUUGAGUCUUGCAGCAGACUCAUGCCAAAGGCCACUCUCUUCUUCUCUCCAGCUGUUUCUGGUCCUGCAGGCUAGGAAAGUUCAAACAAGCCAAGCUCUUUGUUAGUCACAUAGAUCCUGAGUCCUUCUGAGGCACAUUAAUAUUUCUCACUUGCAUGGUGCAUAGGCUUGGGAUGGACCUUUUUUAUGGAGCCUAUGCUAACACGAAUACAAUGGCUUUGAGUUGCCUCCCUCCUGCCCAUACAGUAAAGUCUGUUCUACUUGCGUUUAGCACACAUUGAUUUCAAGACCUGUCUCUUACUUGACACAGAAUUGCUCUAUAGUCACAUAUCUCCCAUUUUUUAGUUCAUUUCCUCUGCUUCUGCUCCUGUCCUGACCCUGGCAAAGCACAGGUCAGGCACAGUGCUCUGAACAGCCAUUAAGGAAGAAAUCCCUGGAAGUUUAAAACGGUGUCAGGAAUAAAAAAUAGAUACAGUGCUCACUGCUUGCCCCCUUUUUUUUCUCCCUAAUCUCUGUUGGAUUUCUGUGUGUGCAGUGCUUGCAACAUAGGCCAUUCAAUUCACUAUAAUGGGUGGGAUGAGGCUGCUCCAUUGUACCCUUUUCUGUGUAAUUAAAUUUUACAGGAUGAAAUAUAAUGAUGCGUAUAGUGAUUCCUUAUGCACAGGCCUGGACCAUUGGCUCUCACCAUUCACUACAGACUCUGAUAGUUCAUUCUGAGCACUGAUAAUCCAAGGAGGUGCUGCUCUAACAAUCCCCACUUUCUAUUUCACCACUGACCCAGUUUGGUAAUUACAACACUGCAGAGUCUCUCUUGGGUUUGGCAAUGGAUGUCAUAUGCUUGAGUGAUGAGUAGCCCCAGCUGUUGUGUUUCACUUUAUUUAUUUAACGUGAACUCAUGUGAAUUCAAUAACAUUUAAUCUACCGAGCACUGAAUGAAUCAUGCAGAACAGUUUGUAAAAAUCCUGGAUAUAGCUUCAGAGUACGCAAGCUAUUUUCCUGGAAGAAGUUGCGUAGAAUUUCAUUAGCUGCAUGAAUCUGAUUGCUUCAGACAUUUGAACUAAUGAAACCCAGGCUGAGAUGGGAGUCAGGACUGAGUUAUUUCUGGGAAGCCCUGUGCUGGAAGCCACUUUUCCCACUGACGCACCAUGAAUUGCUCCAGAGAAGCAACUGAAAGGUGGCUGUUGGUUUUGGAAGCUGCCAGAUACUCUCCCUUUUGAAGACAAGUUUGAGGAACUAAUUUUCCUAUAAUCAACAUUGAGGUUAUUGGCCAGUUUAUCGCUUGGCUUCAUGGCACCUGGGUAGAUGCUUCAGGGUUUAGAUGGUGCAAAUUUUGCCAUU